rnacentral:rRNA from 1 species
GACGAACUGUCCAAACGUUGUUCGGAAUCACUGGGCUUAAAGGGCGCGUAGGCGGGCUGACAAGUCUGGGGUGAAAUGCCGCGGCUCAACCGUGGAACUGCCUUAGAUACUGUCGGCCUCGAGGAAGGUAGGGGCAUGCGGAACUGUAGGUGGAGCGGUGAAAUGCGUUGAUAUCUACAGGAACUCCGGUGGCGAAAGCGGCGUGCUGGACCUUUUCUGACGCUGAGGCGCGAAAGCUAGGGGAGCAAACGGG